UGCUAUGCCAACAUAUUUCCCAAGUGCAUAUUAUGAAACCCAAGAGAUGUGUCGAUAUUGAUGAUGCAAUUAAUUAAGUACAACACCUGCUCUGGUAACGGAACAGGACUACCAGCAUGUAUCCUUCCGCCGCAGCUCAGCAGGGAACUGCAUUAUUGGAAAACCUGAGGCCUGCAUUAGUUAAUUAGUCUUGUACCUUUGGAAGAAACCAACACGAAUUAGCUUGGUGUUGCAGCCGAAGCUGUAUUUGAGCUUAAAACGAACUUCUGAGUACAUUUUUUUUUACAUAGGAAAAAAGGCUGAUUGUUUUCUGCCAUUUUACUGUGUAGUCGCGUUCAGCGUGGAGACCUUCUGGGUCGGCGUGGAGAGUAGGAAAAUGGACCAAACACUUGACCAACUAGAGCUCAGUAGGCAGGAUUCAGAAUGUGGCUGUCGUCUUCUUACAGCUAGGUAGCCGAAUCCAAGAAAGAAACUGAUAAAUAAAUUUCACCCAAAGUGGAACACAAUUUUUACCCUUGGAUCUAGACUGUUGAUUGAAAUCACAUUUAUUACAGACCAUUUGGCUGGGACAACUUUGGCUGAAGCACACAAAAUGAAGCUAUAACUCAGGAGGUGAUCGGUUCUGUCAGCGCUGUUAUGAGUCAUCAGGAGAGGCCCAUUAAGCUCAGUGGCCACUGAAGAUGUGCUCAACCUACUGCUCAGAGUCAUAAGGAGGAUGGCACGGAAGAUGUGCGACGUGGUGGCAGAGGCUUUGUCAUCUCUUCAGCUUCCUCAGUCCCACUCUUCUUGUCGUUACUAACUACCAUGACUGUGCGACUGGGAACCAACAUGCACAACACCAAGACGCUGAAACUCAAGAAGGGAACCAGCUCUGCUGAGGGGACGUUCCUCUAAGUUCUUACACAGGCCCUGCAGCAGUUAAUUGCAGCAAGAAGAUACUUUAUGUGCAGAGCCACCAAAGGGACAGCAAUCACGCUAACAAGCAGGGGGUGAUGGAGUUGAGAUGGUGGAAACAGUAGUCGUGAUGGUGGUGAGAUGCAGAGCUUUCUCUAUCACGUUCCUGGCUCAAAUUGGGUGGUGGAGAAAAGGCUGAAUGCUGUGGCAGUUAUCUCUGGCCUGAUGCCACUCUACUGCCAGCCCUUGAUCCCGCUGCCCUGCCCGGGCAGAUAGGGCUGAAGGAGAGGACGGUUUUGCUGAGCUGUCUAGAAGACAUUUGGUGUGUCAUUUUGUUCAGUGUGCAGAGUGGCUGUCCAAAAUGCCCAUUUACCUGUAUGCACCCCUGAAGUCUGCUUUCUGCACUGUUAUCUGGUGUUAAUUAAAAAGGGAUAUGGCACAGGCACCAUAGUAAAUAUUGUCCUCUCUGAGAGGGGUCCUAUUCCCUUUGCUGUGUGUCUCUAGAUUCACAAUUUAAAGGAUUAAUCUGCAUUUUAAUUGACUAGAGGGGCUCUGCUGCUUUGAUGACUUAAUGAGUAUUAGGAUAUGAUCAAAACACAUGGAACAAAUUUGGAUUUAAAUCUUUUAAUUCAUGCAGCCAAACAAGCUUUAAAGAGGAUUUUAAUGCAGAGCCAGCCAUGUCAUAUUUCAGGAUGUAAAUAGUCACUGACAUGGAGUUGUAUGGUAUUGCUUUUAAAUGCUAGGGUUUGUCACAUGCAUGCCAACAUUCAUGUACUCUGCCCUCCUUGUCCAACACACAAUCGUACCCACAGUCCUACCACACACACACACACACACUCAUAAACUCAUACAGGCUGAGCACUCUAUGAAACCACCUAUCAAGUCAUUAUGCACAUGGCCGGGUAAAGCGAUCUAGUGUAAGCGCAUUGAUCCAUCUAGCCUCAUUCAGUCUGAUGAAGACCCAAGCCUAGUGAUAACAUUUCACAGCCAGAUGAGCAACUGCUACAAUACAGCACAUGGCUAAUGGACAGUAAGGAGCUGACUCACGGUGUUGGAAGGAAAAACGGCAUAUUACAGGGUGAUUGAGCCAAAUAUUUAAAGCAAUUAUCUCUUAAAGAAAUGUUUCUAUAUAGCAAAUCCACUGUUUCUCUGGGACAAGAUUACAAGCUUGGCUGCAUUGUGAAGGGCAUUAAAUGACACAAAAUGGAAAUCUUAGCAGUAUGCCUACCACUCACAUCAAGGAACACACUCAGGAUCCAAAGGGUACAAGAAUGUGAGAUUGAAAAUGGCAUGGAUACCCACUGAAGGUGCCUGGAGGCAAGGCUUGAGUAAAUCUGGAUUAUGUUUGCCUUUUAUCAAAGUUGACUUUUUACUAAUGCCACGGGCAGGCGGCUACAUAAGAAUGCUUCUGUUCUUAGGGGAAAUGUGCACUGAACUCAUCUGGCAUCUCAGCAUAGGAAGCUAUAGUAAGCUGCCCUUUGAAAGAGCCCCACAUAUAUAGUUUUUAAAAAACCCACAACUAAGAAGAUGCAAAUAGCCAAGCAGGACAUAGCUGCUGUCACACUGCCCCUUGAAUGAUGAAUAUCUCUCUGGCAGACAGUGGCCCAUGUGUGAACCUGGCAUUUGAUGUAAUUUGUCUGGUCCUAGGGCUAAAUACU